AUGUCAGCAGGCAUUUCCCCUGACAACCGUCCCUCCCCUGCACACCCAGACCAACUCAGGACAAACUGGUUUUAUGCCAGCCCUGCCAGAUAUCAAGGAAAUGAAGGAGAAAAGCACAGAAGUAUCUACUGGAAUCAUGGAUAUAACCUUUUGCAAAGGGAAAAGCCCUUGGUGGAGAAGGAAACCCACAAACCAUACGAAAGUUUAUUUGGAGACAAAGUAGGAAGGGUAAGAAUUAUCCUAAGCUCUUGUUUUCAAAACAUGCAUUACAUAUUAUUUAUUUAUGUAUUUAUCCAUUGUCUUCUUCCAAAGCUUUUCUUACAACCUCACUUGAAAAACUACAAUGUGUGUUAGCCCAAGGACCCAGUCUGACUGCACAAGUGCUGUCUGGGUGCCUAUCAAUAACUUCUGAAACCAUAGGUCAAUUGUAAUUGAAUUUGGCAGGCUGGCAUUUCAGAAAGAAAGUUUGUUCUACUUACAUUAAGCACCAUCUUUACUCUUAGGGUGGUGAGGCACCGGAACAGGUUGCCCAGAGAAGCUGUGGAUGCCCCAUCCCGGGAGGUGUUCAAGGCCAGGCUGGAUGGGGCUUUGGGCAACCGGGUCUGGUGGGAAGUGUCCCUGCCCAUGGCAGGGGGUUGGAAGUGGGUGAUCUUUCAUGUCCCUUCCAACCCAAACCGUUCUGUGAUUCUAUGAAAUAAUGGGUAGGUACAAAAAUGCCAAAGGAUGUUCCAGGCUGCAAGCUGAGCUCAGCUCAUCUUACAGAAAAGAGGGCUUUAUAUCAGAGCACAAGGUCUUAGUACAGGCUGCAUAUUUUUCAUGAUACAUAGGAAUACAUACUUAUUUUAUGACUUGUAUUCCAUUUCUUCCAGAUGUCCAGAGACUGUGGCAUGAGAUGCAAUUGAAAGAACAACCAUUACCCAUAUUUUAAAAGGAAAACCUACAGGAAAAAAAAAAAAAAAAAAGUUUUGUUUUGAACUCCUAGGUUUCAUUUUUCAAAUUCAAAGAGAGAAAGAAAAAACUUUUUUUCCUGUUCUACCUGUAAAAUUAUAUUACUUCUUGGUUUUGAAAAGGUCAUAUCACCUGAUGUAGUAAUUGCAUGCAGCUGUUAUGUAAUUGUUCCUCAUAUUUCUAUAAAAGGCAGUAAUUGGAAUAGUUUCUUGAAAGUUAUUAUGUGGCAGGUACUUCCUGGGGACAACAACAAUAGCUAUUCAUCUGGUGGCAACAGUCCCCCAUAGGGAGCUCAGAGCUGCCCGUGGGAGCUGCUGUGGACCUGGGGAAGUUACGUGUUCCGUCUCUUUGCCAUGAAGAGCGGAGCGUGGGCAGAUGAACUUUGUUGGCUCCAUCUGUCUCACAGGCUCAGUGAGUCAGCUCGGAAAGCAGCACACGCAUGCACACACUGUCCCUCUCCUCAGGACCAGGAUCAAAAAAGCUCCACCGGCAAGGGCCAGCAGCCAGCACUGCUCGGCUUGCCUUUCCUGCCAGCCUCACCCAAAGGGCCUGCAUCGGACCCUGUGUCCUUGUGGGAUGGAGUAGGAAAGGUCUGGGGCUCUGAAUCCCUGUUUUCUCGAACAGUCAUACUGGGAAUAAAUAACAAUAUAUGACCCUCCUUUGCA
ensembl:lncRNA